rnacentral:sRNA from 1 species
UUCAGGCUGCUUCAUAGUCAGCCUGAGGGGUGGGCAGGGCUGAGACUUGUUCUGGUGAAUGGACAGGGAUGGGUACUUUGGGGGGGGGUUGCUGAUUCAUACUCUGCCUGAGGGGUGGGCUUUGGUUUUGGCUUUAACAUUCCAUCAGAUACUGCAGCUGAGGCUGUGCUUGGCUCUCACUCAAGUUGCCUGGUUUCUUCUGAUCCCUCACCCUCACUGCCUUGACUCUGCCAGUUACAGUUCUGCCAUGGAGUUCUACCCAGAAGGGAGAUGGAAGUAAGCUGCCCCCGAGUCAGCUCUGCCUGCCAGGAGUGAGCAGAACAAGUAUUUCCCAACAUGGGACAGGCCAUGCCCGCUCCCCUGUCUUCCUUUGUUUCCUGAGAAUCUGAAGAACCAGGUACCUGGGUUCCUUUCAAUGGAUGCAAGACAGGCAGGUCAUAGACUCUGAAGCGUAAGCUGCUGUUACCCAGGGCCGAGGGUGGAGGGGACAAGUCAUCUCUUGCUCAGAGACACCAGGGCAGCAGUCUAGAACAGAAACCUCCUUACUACUGAAAUUUAACUUCUGUCAUCAAACCUUAUAAAUUCUUCUAUCAAUUCCUCACCAAAGACAUUCGAUCCUGUGUAGGUGAGGAUGUCAGAAACAGCUCCUUUUAGGGUGUGUGCGUGUGUGUGUGGGGGGUCAUUUUCCUCUCCAAAUCUCUUUGUACCAGGUGCUCAUUGAGUUUGCUGCUGGAUACUUCAUGCUCUCCCCUCCCGAGGUUUCCUGCCCAGGCGAAGGUGUGAACUGUUGAGACAGCACAGCAACUGGGUGACAGCAGGGAAACGGCAGCUGUCACUCUGCUCUCUGAUAGAGGCCAUGUGAAAGAAGCUGGCAUCCUGGCAUCCUGUACCACUCAAGAUUAACAAACAGUUCUCCCAUUCUAUGUGCUUUCGACUGAACUUCCCAAUUAAUGGGUCCUCGUGACAGAGCAAGCGUUCCUAGCAGAAACAGCCUCUAGGUGAGGCCAUUUGGAUGUAAUCAUCCGCAUUUUAGCAGAGGCUGUUCUGGGCAUGAUACUGGAAGUCUUGGAUCUAACAUAGAUGUGUUUCUGCUCAUAGGGCACGAAUGCACAUGUAUGCACUUGUAUUUACCUAUGCAGAGACAGAAUUUACGUGCAUCUAUCUGCCAUACCUAUGUUGCCACGCUCACUUGUAUGUACCACUCAUCACACAUGUACACUAGCAUGUGUAUCCUUGCUCGAUGUGUUCACGUUUAAAUACUCAUGUGCAUGCCUCUGUAGCAUGUACGGUGUUUGUAAUUAUGCACACAGCUGCAUGCCUCUAUGUUCACAUCGAAGCAUGAUUGAUUGCACAUGCACACGGGGCUCUUGUAAGAUGUACAGGGCUCCUGAACGUCCUCCUGUAGUCACCCGUGUGCGUGAGUGAACAUGGCCUUCAUGGUCAUCCACACACAGGCGCCAUGUAACAAGGGAAACAUGGCACCAGUAGGGUUAAUGGAGGCCCCAGACUUCCAUAAAUAUUUAUAGGAAGCACUCAAGCUCUCAAAGUGGGAGCUGAAACCUCUCCUCUUGAGCCCCUGUAAAUCACUGCUGGGCUGCUGCUGCUUGUUACCUGUCAGAUCAGGGGCUGUGUUCUGCAAAGGCAACGUGUAUAUGGUUAGAGCUACAGCUAUUCAGGGGCCAGGGGUGAAGGGGGAAGGCCAUCUGGUCAUCUCUUGCCUUGCUCAGAGUCACCAGGGGGAGGGUCUAGAACAGAAAUCCAUGCCUCUCUAGUGCUGAAAUUUAAUUUUUGUCACGGAACCUUAUAAUUCUUCUAUAGGUUCCUCACCAAAGACAUUCAACCCUGUGUAGAGGAGGGGGGUCAGAGACUGCCCUCUUGGGGUCAGUCUCUCUUUGCACAGGUUGGUCAUCCCAGGGCCUUUCCAGGCAUCCAGUGAACAUGUCAGGGCCACUACUUACUACUGGGAUCCUUCUUCAAGGGUCAAGGGUCAAGUGAAGCAGCUCAGUGAUGUCGCUGCUGCCUCUGACUGUAGGGCUGCAGCUGUGAAAAGAGAGACACAUCGUUGUGUGACUAUGAGAGGCUCUGUCUGUGGAGGGAUAGCAUCUCCGGCAGGGCAAGGAGGAAUGGUCCUGAUUUGAUGCAGAGGGAACUAUUUUUCCCUCACCAGCUUUGCUUCCCAAAGGCCUGCUGGAUCUCAGGGCCCCAAGCUGCUGUGUCCAAUGCAAAUUCUGUGCUCCGUUUGUGUCACCCGAAACUGAUCAUUGGCGUGCUGGACACUAUUCUAAGAUUAGAUAGAACAAUGAACAGAAAGCAUCAAACGUCCCCAACUGUGAGUUUCCAACCCGAUAGGAGAGUAGAGAUGCCCUUCAGGUAGCACAUGGAAUGCCCACGGCCGACAGAAGACGCACCACGCAGGAGAGCAGCCUGACCCUUGAAGACAUUCACACAACUGUGUAAGAGCGGGCCGGGAGCAGUCAAAAGGGCUUCCUGGAGUUGUUGAUGCGUGAAUGGAUAGCUGAAGUCUGAAUAGAAGUUAUUCAAGUCAAAACGCGCUGGAUUAGCGCCAUCCCAUGGAUGUUUCUAAGGUCACCAUUCCAACCAAGCAAGCAGUCUAGGAGGAGGACAUCGUCCCUUUCUUCUAGUCCUGGGGCAUAACAGGACCUUGGAGGAACUCAUCUGGUGGAAACAGAGAAGCAUCGACAGUUAGCUGACUGGUAAGUUCCUCAAGAAGCUAAAACAUAUGGCUGGACCAACUGCCAUGGGGUGGGGUUUAUUGUCAGCCCUGUUUUGUAAAUGCGGAAAUAGAGACUCAAAGGGCAUGUAGGAUGGGGAAGAGGUCUAGGAUUUGAACCUGCCAUCUUCAUAUUGUUUCUGAGCUCUUCAAACUUCCAACCCCAUGUCUCCAGGUGACUGGUCUUCUUUAGACAGAACUUUGAACUGCAGCCUCAUUACCUCAGUGAUGGAAUCACACCAGGCUUCCAGGGACACAGACUUCUGUUUGGUUUAUGUCUGUGACUAUGAAUUCAAGACAUCAUACAGAGAGUGAGAGAACGAGCUAAGUAAUAGUACCGUUUGGUUCACUGAAACAGGUCAGUGAGAUGUUGUACAUCUAGAACCAGCUUGGAUCUCUACAGAGGGAGGAGACAUUUUCUGCAAAGGAGCUGGCACCCUGCUGUAAUUUCUGCAAUUGUUUGCAGUGGGGAAACAAAUGGCCCUGGUGCUUGUGGGCUGUGUGAAUUAGAACAGAGGUUCUCAAACUUGAACAUGUGUUAAGAUCUCUGUUAAGGCUUGUUAGAACACAGGUCCCUGCGACCCACCCCUAGAGUCUUCUGAUUUGGUUAGUCUGGAAUUGGGCCAACAAUUGCUUACAUGCCUCUGAUAUGGCUGCUCUCGGAACCACUCUAAAAAGCACUGGAUUAAGGUAAUACCAAUAUGGACCCAGAUAAACCCCCAUCUGUCAGCAGCCUAGGUCUGUGAAAGUAUCCUCAUUGAUUAAUGGGGGAAUGGCUAAACACAUGGCAAUAUGCUAUA